UACAAGUAUACCUUUAUAUGUUCACGUUUGAUCAAACAUUUUAUUUGAAAUUUAUUUAUAAUUAGUAUUUUGAUAGUUAUUAGAUGGUAAAACAUGAAUAAUAUUUUAUACAUGACUUAAUUAUUUUAAUUUUUUAUAUUUUUAAAUAAAAAGACGAUCAACAUUGGACACUGAUACUCCUAACUGCACUUCAA
rnacentral:pre_miRNA from 1 species